AUUAUAAAACAGUGCCAAUGUUUUCAUGAAGGGGAGUAAGACUUGUGGUAUACUAUAUCUUAAAUACAAGUUAGCAAUUAUUGCUGCUUUUACUUAUGCGUAGAGUUUUAGAAUGGUCAUUGGAGCUGACUUUUAAGGUUAGCAUUACAGCUUGUCCCUACAGUUUGAUGUUGGAAAUGGCUAUUAGAGUUGACUUUUAAAGAUAAUAAUUACUGUGGCUGAAGGAUAUAAUUGUGGGAUUAAUUCUCCAUACUCCUUAGAGAUGUUGUGAAGGUUCUUCACAUGUUGACAGCUGGGGACUCUCUCUUCACAAGACAUCAGAUUUAAGAUCCCCAUUCUGACAGGACAUUGCUGCUGAUUUGUACAUCCUGCACUACCAAACAGACGCCUUACUUUUGCAAAGAUUUUACUACCAGUCUGAAGAAGACCAAGAGUGACCAUAUUUCCCUUUGGGGUCUUUCUAACUCUACCAAACAGUUUCCAAUAUGAACGGUUCAUAUAAAUCUUGCAUAAACAAGAGCAAGAAUGUAGUUGAUAAAUUCUAAAAUAAUUAAUGUAAAGAUUCUCCAUUUUCAACAAGAGUGGAAGUUUUAGUUCAAGGUUAAUGUAUUGUGUUUUGAAUUUUCACCUAAUUUCUUUUUCUCUCUUCCAUUAAAUGCUAUGGAUAUUUGAAGUCCAUGGUUCAAGUUUCUCAAACAUCAAUAACCAUGUCAAACCUUCUUGGAAUUUUGUGAAUAAUUAAAAGCAGAAGCAUAUUUUUAUUCAAAGAUAGUAUCAAAAGCAAAACUUGGAAUUCAAUUUUUUGUAUCUCACUUAUAAAUUGACUAUAGUUUUUCCUGACAGUCUUAAUUUACAAAUUUUAGGCAUCAAUAGUGUCAUGGCUUCAUAGAAUAUUCUAUAAAGCCUUAACAUAAGAGAAAAUACCAAAAGUCAUAUUUAAAAAUGUUCAGUAUUUUUCUGAUAGAUGAAAUUAGUUUUGUUUUGCAUUUAUGAUUUACAUUUAGCCUUUGGUUAUCUUCUUUAGGACACCAAUAACAGCUUAAAAACCUCCUUGGAAUGUUAACAUACUUAUCUUUAUGAUUAAGAAAAAUUGUUUCAUUUUCAUUUCAUCCUUCCAUUUUUUUAUUGGUAAAUUUAUUUGGGUUUUUACCACCAACUUUACACAACAGUAACACAGACAAAUCUUUGGGGUUCUGCGUAAUCCUUUCAAACGUUUUUUAUUGCUGUUUCUACAAGUUGUGUAGUGUACAUGUGUUUAUUAUUUCUACUUGUAUCAUAUACAUGUUUUUUUGAUUGAUGAUUAAACUGUAGAACUAUUGUAAUUUGAGCAGUACCGGAGUAAAUGAACUGUUUUACAAAGCAUCCAUAAAACUUUUCAUGCAUUCAGUUAUGCCAAGUUAAAAAAAAAACCACAGAAUAUUGAUGAAACAUCCUACUUUCAGGGAAUGUCAAAUAAUAGUUUCUGUAAAACAAUAAUGUGUGUACUGAGUGUACUUAAUGAAAUGUAAAAUUUAUUAUUGAAUUACAGACCACCUUAAUUUAUAGUUGUCCAUAUUUUGAGUUAGAACCGAUAGACUUUUCUAUCAUUUUGAUAUAAUUUGUCUCAUAAGUAGUGCACUACACCUUAAAAAACUGUCAAAACAAGAAUAUUUUUUAGUAUUUGUGUUUAUUGUCUAAAAGAAAUGCACUUUUAAAUAACUGUUCUUUCGCCUAAGAGAUGAGUUCAGUAAAUGUAGAUUCAGAAAAUUCCCUGUUUCCUUUCAUAUGAAACUUUUUCUUCUUCUGUAAGAUAGUAAGGGGUUCAAAUAUAUGCCUGUUGAGAAUAAAAUUACAAAUAGAGAGUGAAAGUAGUAAACUGAAUUAAGAAUGUUAAAUAAAAUAUGUUUUUUCAAAUUUGGAUGACAAUUAAUUGCAAUUAUGUACCAUUUCAACAAUAGAAGUAGUAUAGACUUGCAAAUCCAUACCAUUACAAAACACUGGAAGUUGUAUGGUUGUCUGAGCGAAGCCAAUUGGAAGUAUGUACCUCUUAGUGAAGCUAAUUGGGAGCUCACCCUCUGUCUUGUUGCGAAGCUGAUUGGAAGCAGUACAUAUAUACCUCUGUCUGCAAAACCUAAUUAGAAGCAGUACCCCUGGCAGAGUGGUCCCAAUUAGAGGCAUGUAACUCUGAGGGAAGCCAAUUGGAAGCAGUACCUCUGCAAAAUUUGAUUCAAAAUUAUUCAACAAAUUUUAUUUAACAUUGAAAUAACUGUUCUUGGGCCUAAGAGAUGAGUUCAGUAACUGUAGAUUCAGCAAAUUCCUUGAUCAGUAAAUGUAGAUUCUUCAAAUUCCAGGUUAAGCAGCUAUGUACAUAAAAGUUGAAUUAGUUGAAUUCCAUCUUAAAGAAUUCACUUAGUCUGUAAAACAAUCUCUUUUCAAAGAUGAGUGUACCCAUUUCCUUUCAUUUGAAACUUUUUCUUCUUCUGUAAGAUAGUUAGUGGUUCAAAUAUAUGCAAGUUGAGAAUAAAAUUACAUAUUUUUUCACUGAAAAAUGAAAAUAAAAUUUGCAUUAAAGUACACUGUCUGCAAAAAUAGUUCAAUGCUAGAGUCUCAUGUAAACUUUUUUUAUCAUGUCAAUUAAGCAUAGAAAUAACCAAAAAGAAACAAAUUUCUCUUUCCAAUAGCUUCUAUAUGCAUUUUAUAUGUAAAUAUGUGCUACGGCCGAAAUUGACCUCAACUUACAAUUUUUUAGGAGCACCCCCUUAAUUUUAUUUAAUGCAUAAAAUAACAAACCCUCUAUUAAUAUACGGUGAAGGAAUAGGAUAAAGUCAACUCAGUUAUCAGAAUUUGUGAUUAUCUCCCCUCAUUAAAAAGAACUUUUGCCAGUGUAGGAAUUUUACUGGAAAUAUUUCUUUGUUAAGGAGGGCUUUCAAUACAAUUUGAAGUAUUAAUCUGAAAUCUGAAAGCAGACAUCUAUUUGACAUGGGGACAUAAUAACUUGCUGCCUUAACGUCAAGGGGAAAAUCAAGCAAAAUCUUGCUUUCUCCCAAUCUCCUGGAAUCCAUCUUUCUAAUUAGAAUAUUUUUUAUAUGAAAUUAAGGAACUUCGCUUGCUUUGUC